rnacentral:rRNA from 1 species
UACAGAGGUCUCAAGCGUUGUUCGGAUUCAUUGGGCGUAAAGGGUGCGUAGGUCGCGCCGUAAGUCAGGUGUGAAAUUUCGGAGCUUAACUCCGAAACUGCAUUCGAUACUGCCGUGCUUGAGGACUGGAGAGGAGACUGGAAUUUACGGUGUAGCGGUGAAAUGCGUAGAUAUCGUAAGGAAGACCAGUGGCGAAGGCGGGUCUCUGGACAGUUCCUGACGCUGAGGCACGAAGGCCAGGGGAGCAAACGGG